AUAGACAUUCAUUUUAUUUUUAAAAUCAGUGACACGAGCUGUCAAUUCACAAUGAACAUGCUGCUGCUCAUUCCCAUGCAUUUAUACUCAAAGAAAUCUAGAGGUUUUUUUAAAAAAAAAAAUUAAAGUCAUUUAUAAAGUCACUGUGACAGUCUGAGGCAGUCUUGACAUUCCUGGCAGUGACAUUCCAGGCCAGAUAGUCUAGUUCCCUUUGUACCUCCUCGAUCCCACAUGUGCCUGCAGUAAGGCUACGGCCUCACCUGAAAGAAACAACACAGGACAGUACAUUUUAUUAUACAGUGGCCUUAGACCUUUUAGGGUGCGCUGCUAUGUUUUCCAGGGAAUGCUUACACUGAACAGUGGCAAGAAACUCAGGAAUAGUUGUAAAUAUAACUCGGGUUUGAAUAUAAGUCAUAUAUAAAAAUAAUUUGAUUGAAAAGUAAAGGACAGAGAAAUAUGAUUCUUGGUUCAAAUCAAUCCUGAGGCCCCACCAAGAGCUCCUAGGGGUAUAGCCAUCUCACUGAUGCCAGAAGAGUGGGAAAUGCACAAAUGUCAUUUUCCUCUGCAGCACAUCCAAGCUGGGCCCUUGUUAAGAUGGCAUCCAGCUGGGGUUCUCAGUGAUGCUCUGGCUGUCCCACCCUCAGCCCUUCAUUCUGACCACUUCUGGGCACAUAGGGCUGGUUCCUCCCAGCAGCACCUGUAUUUCACCUGUGGGGCAGGCUGCACUUCUGGAGAAGGACCCCCUCCCAGGAGCGACUCUGGAAACCCACCUGCUAGCAGUUGGUAGAUAAAUGCUUCAGCUGCCUGGACCCUCAGAGAAAAUGAGUCAGAGUGAUUAUUCUGCAUCAUUUCCAGAUGUCCCCAGCUUUGGUGGCCUGUGAGGGGGGAUUUGUUUCAUAAUCCACCUCUUAUCGGCCCUACCCCUUCUGGUUUCACAUCCACACUCCUUUUCCACGGGUUCCAGGGAUCAUCUCCCAUACUGCUUGCCUUUGAAUUUUUAUCUAAGGGUCUAUUUCCAUAAAAGCCCAAACUAAGACACAGUUACCCUCUCCUGGUGUUCCAUUCUUGGCAAGGGUAUGUUGAAUAAGUCACCAGUAGGCUUCAACCUGAUUUUUUAUACAUGAAAAUAAGUUAGUGAUUCUUUAAAUCGAUUUUAUGAAACUAACAGAAAGAUGAGUGGAUAAUGACUUAACCCACAGUAUCGGAUCAGAAGGGCAUAUAGUUCAUGUCGCUCACCCAAACAUCACCAUAUACUACAAGCUAAAAAUGUUACUCAGUGCAGCUGCCAACUUGAAUUUCCCACCUCCUCCCUGCUCAAGAUUAGGGACACUCUUGGCAAGAGGUGACUGCAGUAACUCACUCUCCCUUUGCUCACAUCUGUAUUUCUCUUCUAGCAUUGAUGGGUUCUGCCAAGCCUGCUUCUCUAUACGUUGUGCAGGGAUGAUCUCCAGUGAAGUAAUCUUACCUUUGCAUCAAAACUCUUAUUCUAAUUAUGUGCCGGUUACUCUCAAUCUCGGCUUGUGUGCAGCUCAAAGUCUAUUUUCAGCACCAAGUUACCAUCUCUUCUAUUCAGACAAAGUUGCUUCGGACAGGGUUUCUUCCCGUUCAUCUCUCAUCAGUCCCCUACGCCUCCAUCGAGGGCUUUUUUUCUCUGUUUGUCAGGGCUCCCUUCUCUGUGAGCCCUCAUUCUGAGAAGGAAAGGUGAGCCUUUUUGUCUGCUCCUUUUGGCAGGAAGAACACCUGCCAGAUGGUGUCAUACUCUGAAAAGGAAGCAACAAAGUACACCUGUGACACUUGCUAUGACUUUAACCUGGAGGUUUUACUGCUUUACUGUUUAAUUCCAGGCCUGUGAUGACACACUGAUUAAUGAGUUGGGUUUUCUCUCUUAAGUCCCACUGGAUAAAAGACAUGUCCAAGGUUGAAAGAUGGAGAAAGAGGCCCAUCUUAGUGACAGUUAAGCUUGACCUUUGGGAAUACAUGUCAAAGCCUAUUCGAAAUAAAAAAGCUACCAGCUGUCAUGGUUCUUCUGCCAUAAAGGCAUCCUAUAAAUGAUUGCUUUGGGCGCACAGUUUCUGUAGCAUGAACCACCCUUUCAACUGAGCAUCAUGUGAACAUUAAUGCUUUGCCCAGAUUUAUAGUUCUAAGGUGCUAUUAUAUCUUUUUAAUUCACAUGGCUGUCAAAAUAACCACAGAGGUAUCUAGAACAAGCAACUAUCACAGCUAGUCAGUAGCUGUUAAUCUCUUUUCUGCCCUAUAGCCAUUGCUUACCAUCAACAAAACACAGGUUAACUCCAUGAGUGAAGGCAAGUUAAGCUGCUAUAACAAACGAACCCCAAGUCUUACUGGCUGCACACAGUACGACUUUCCCUCUCCCCCACACAAAUAUUCCUAGUUGAUGGGGAAGACAUUCCCCAUGAUCCUCCAGAGACUCCGCUGCUUCCAUCUUGUCGCUUCACCCUCCUCCCUUUCCGCUGAUUGAAGGGGAAAGAGGGAGAGAAGGGAGGUUUGCUUGUGGAAGGUUUUUAAGGACCAGACCUAGAAAGGAACACAUCAUUUCUGGGCUUGUUCUUUGGCUAAUACUCAGCCACAUGGCCACACCCAAGUUCAAGGAAGGCUGGCAAAUGUAACCCAGCUCUGGGACCACGAGGAGAAAGAAGCAGAAUUUUGAGAACGCAUAGCCCUCUCUGCCAGGUGAUAUAAUAUCACCUAAGUUCUCAUUUUGUGCUGUAGUCCCCUCCACUAGAAUACUCCCUCCCCUUUAUGCACUUCUCCUGUCUAGAGAGUAUUCACCCAUCACGGGAGCUGAGCUUAGAUGUUGCCUCCUCAGGGAAAUCUUCCCUGAUGUUCUCAUCCCCAAGCUCAGUUUGUGUAAGGUACCCCUUUUGUUGUUCCCUUUCCAUCUUAAUUAUCCACUAUUAUUAAAUUACAUGAGCUCCAUUACAUGCUCUAUCUUUGGACAAUGUGUAUUAGUGACAAAAGGUACUUGCUGAGCUACUGAGAGAAUGAAGCCCACUUUUCCUCUUAUAUUCUCUAGUGGCACCAAAAUGGAAAUCCUCCAACAGACAUGGGCCUGACUUCAUAAGAAUCUCCUACAGAAUGUGUUACACCUUGUUCCUCAGUACCAACCCCAAGUGACCAUUCCUCCUCCCUCCUCCCUUGGGCAGAGAUACAUCCCAAGCUCACUGACCUUGGACUUGGUCAUCUG
rnacentral:lncRNA from 1 species